UACGGGGGGAGCAAGCGUUGUUCGGAUUUACUGGGCGUAAAGGGCGCGUAGGCGGUCGUGACAAGUCACUUGUGAAAUCUCCGGGCUUAACUCGGAACGGUCAAGUGAUACUGUCGGACUAGAGUACAGAAGGGGCAACUGGAAUUCUCGGUGUAGCGGUGAAAUGCGUAGAUAUUGGGAGGAACACCAGUGGCGAAGGCGGCUCACUGGACCGGAACUGACGCUGAGGCGCGAAAGCGUGGGGAGCAAACAGGG
rnacentral:rRNA from 1 species